UCCUGGUUUCCAGCGCUUGGCAUUUGCUCCCCCUGAAUCCCCGAGAGACCCGGCUGACCCCCCAUCAAGUGGGAAAGCUGUACGGGGACCAGGAGCUGGCGCCUGAGCUGAGCCAGCCCUACUUUUCCCUCCUACGUCCCUGAGGCCUCCUCUGGGGAGGUGGGGAGGGUGGGGGGCCCUGCAGCCCCUGUCUGCAAAGCAAGCAGAAUUAACUCGGUCACUCCUGGCCUGGCUCUCCAAAUGUCACUUAGUAACAAUUAGGUAAUUAGGGGGAGGUAGGUUCCCUGAAAAUUAGCCCAGGAUUUGGGGCAUAAAGGACCGCAGGGGGCCAGGGGAGACCAAAGCUGGCGUUGUUUACCAAAGCUGUCCCUCCUCACCUCUGUGUUCCUUCCAACUAAUCAACCACCCGGAACUCUCGCUGCAGCCACGGCCUGGGAACUUUCAAAGGCUCCCAAGAGCCUCUCACCCCCCAGACCUGCCUCGUCUUUCCAUGUUGUUUGCUGGGGCGGUUCUUCAUCUUCAAAGCCAGUGCAGCCUGUGUAAAUCAGCGCCCGGCUCAUGCUGCCACGCUCGUAAGAAAUCUGCGACUGUGUCACACCUGCCAAGUCCUUGUCAUGGAGGUCACAACUUCAAGUGGGACAGCCUUCAACACAUGGAGGCCGAUUCCAGAAAGCUCAUUGCCUUGGCGCUUGUUGCUGUUGUUCUGUCCGGUCUGUGCAAACCGUAAGAAGAGCAGCAUAGAAGAUGGGGAAGAGAAGGUGACCCAGGUCUGGCAGGAGAGAGGCCAUGAUGGGAAGGAGAGCUCAGUCUCCCAUGGCCACUGCAUGGAUUCCAGAGUCUGUUUUUCCACCACUACGGUACAGUUCUUUUUUGUGGUCAGCACCACAAGGACCCUUGCCCAGCUGGCAGGAGCAAAACACCGGAGACCAUCACAAAGGUUGGUUGACUUGCCCAAUAGACCAUGAUGGGAUCCUAAGAGACCUCUCUCCACUGCCUGCAUCACGACCUCUCGCUGUUCUUCUCUGGAGGUUGAAAACUGGGACAGUAUCUGCUUCGUGGGAUGUCAAAGAAGUCUCUCCAACCCUCUCUUUUUGUCUCCUUCCACUGAGUCAUUUACACUGAGAAACUGGGGGAACUGGGCACUGUGCCCAUGCCUGUAAUUCUAGUACUUAGAAGGCAAAAGCACAAAGACACAGAGCCUAGAAACACCCUGUCUCAGAAAACACACACACACACACACACACACACACACACACACACACACACACACACGCACCGUUCCUUGAGAAACCAGAGAACUCAGCAACAAUGACUAUGUCCUCAUGUGGGGCAGUCGCUACUAUGUGACUGAGGAACGUGCAUAGUUUUUUGGCUCGUCCAUGCCAUGUUCACCCAUCAUGUAGGUGUGCCCACCUGCCAGGACACUGUUGUUAGAUAAAUUAAUGUGUAACCCCUGAUUCUUGGCCAGAAACAAUGGGAAAUUAUCAAAAACAAACAAACAAACAAACCUUAGGCAGAGUACUUGCCCAAGAUUCCAAAACAAAGACAAAAGCAGGCUGGGAGAAUGUUCUGGAUGCUUAGGGGAAGGUUUAACUGUCAAAACUUGUUUGACUCACAGACACUCUGCUUUCAUCUCCCAUGUUUGACUCUACACAGACCAUCCCGGAGUUUUGGGUUCAGGCCCGGUAUGUUUGGGUCAAGUCUAGUCCAUCUAACCUGUCUGGUUACAUCCAAGGUCUUUAAAAAUGCUAAUGGUGAUGCGAAGGCUAGCCAAGAAACACCUUUCCAAGUAUAACGAGGCACAAGCGCUCUUAUUGGCUGCUCAAGUGAGAGAAAUAAACUGAAAUGCACACAAAACCACAAGCUCUACGGCAGGAGUUGGCAAACUACCGCCCUCCCCCCCCAU